rnacentral:tRNA from 1 species
UGGGGAAUCGUCUAGUGGUAGGACAGCGGACUCUGGCUCCGCCGGCGAGGGUUCGAAUCCUUCUUCCCCAGCCA